rnacentral:rRNA from 1 species
CCUACGGGAGGCAGCAGUGGGGAAUAUUGCACAAUGGGGGAAACCCUGAUGCAGCGACGCCGCAUGAGUGAAGAAGUAAUUCGUUAUGUAAAGCUCUAUCAGCAGGGAAGAAAAUGACGGUACCUGAGUAAGAAGCCCCGGCUAACUACGUGCCAGCAGCCGCGGUAAUACGUAGGGGGCAAGCGUUAUCCGGAUUUACUGGGUGGAAAGGGAGCGUAGACGGCAGUGCAAGACUGGAGUGAAAGGCGGGGGCUCAACCCCCGGACUGCUCUGGAAACUGUACGGCUGGAGUGCAGGAGAGGUAAGUGGAAUUCCUAGUGUAGCGGUGAAAUGCGUAGAUAUUAGGAGGAACACCAGUGGCGAAGGCGGCUUACUGGACUGCGACUGACGUUGAGGCCCGAAAGCGUGGGGAGCAAACAGGAUUAGAUACCCUGGUAGUC